UCGGAAUAAGGCUGGACUAAAAAAUACUUCUGAUCAGAUUGCGGCCGAUGUGCGGGAUCCUGCCGGCUUAGUUAAAUAUAUCACUAUUGGAAUUGAUCCGGCAUAUUGAACCGAUUUAUUGUUUUUAAAAUUUAAAUAUGCUUAACAAAUGCUGCCCCAGAAGGAAUGAGAUCGCCAAAGCGAACG